UCCCAAGUUCAACACAUGUAUUAAAACACUUGACGACCCGGCUCUCAGACGAGAACGUUAACGUAGAGCUCGUUGUCUUAGUUAAGUUGGAACUCUGCUACCAACAUUAGCUCCUGCGUUAGCAGAGGUCCGGUCCCGGGCGGUCCUGCUGUCUUACCCGGUCCGGGGAGAUCUUCGUGGGGCUGACGCAGCCGACCGCGGCGUUCAGCACCAGCGUCAUCUCCGCCGCCGACAGAACACCCCUCAUUCCUCCGGGUCGGAGCUUCAUGCGGAGACCCCUCGGUCCGGAAGGUAGAGCCGGGAUGGUGCUCCUCUGCCCAGCUGUCUUCUUUCUCCGAAGGCCCCGAUUACGCACCGCCUGUUAUUUCUAAUCGGGCAUCUCUGGGUAACAUAACAUCGAAGCAACUGGUGUCUCUUCGCCCGAUGCCGGGUAGCCACUGGCUGGUCCAGCUGUUACGCAGAAACUGCUCCCUUCAGUGUUGCCAGAUUUAGCCAGAUUUACUGCCCAAUCUGGCAACGCACUGCAGCCAGGAAUCUGGCCCAAUCUGGCAACACUGGGAGCGACCCGCUCUACUUGUGGUGUGUUCAAUCCUCGGAAGCCAGACUUCCAAGUCGAAAGUCGAAGAUCUCCAAGCUUUGUUGCGGCAUUUCUCGGAGGCACGCCCCCUUUUUGUCUUAAUCUUUCGGAAGAAGUAGUAGACCGAGAGCAGUGAUGACGAUCUCAACAAAAUGGCUGCGCCCGUGAAGAGAUUUUUUAUUUUUGGUCAUUUUAUUGUCGAUUAAAUGACCUUGCACAUUGGAUUACAUUGCUACUUUAUUCCGGACAUCAAUGUAUACAUUGCAUGGUCUUGAUGUGCGUGCAAUAUAAUGUAAAGUUUUGUUGUUUGUAAGGGUUAAAAGAGGCUAAUGUAGACAACUGCCGUGUUCCAAUACCCGUACUGUCCGUACUUACUAGCCAAAAUUUGACUCGGCUCCAAAUGAGCAACAAACUCAGCAAAGUGUGAACUGUGUUCUCUGUGUUGUCGUUCAUUGUUGUUAAAACUCUGACUGGGGGCGGACUUUAUUAUGGUCCAUGCAGCGGGCGCUUGGUGAUGACAUGUUACGACGUGAUGACGUAUGUACAAGAGCCUACCUCCCUCCAGGGGCCCCCUCCCAGUCCCUCUGGUCCCCCUCCCAGUCCCUCCAGGGGCCCCCUCCCAGUCCCUC
ensembl:lncRNA